AUUGAACGCUGGCGGCAGGCUUAACACAUGCAAGUCGAACGAGUGGCGGACGGGUGAGUAAUGUCUGGGAAACUGCCUGAUGGAGGGGGAUAACUACUGGAAACGGUAGCUAAUACCGCAUACCAUCAGAUGUUCCCAGAUGGGAUUAGCUAGUAGGUGGGGUAACGGCUCACCUAGGCCACGAUCCCUAGCUGGUCUGAGAGGAUGACCAGCCACACUGGAACGGAGACACGGUCCAGACUCCUACGGGAGGCAGCAGUGGGGAAUAUUGCACAAUGGGCGCAAGCCUGAUGCAGCCAUGCCGCGUGUAUGAAGAAGGCCUUCGGGUUGUAAAGCACUUUCAGCGGGGAGGCGUUACCCGCAGAAGAAGCACCGGCUAACUACGUGCCAGCAGCCGCGGUAAUUC
rnacentral:rRNA from 1 species